GUCCUCGAUCUGCUGCGGGCAGAUGAAAUGGAUGUGGCUGUCGAACCCACCGGCGGUGAGGAUCUUGCCUUCAGCGGCGAUCGCCUCGGUGCCCGGACCGACGACGAUGUCGACAUCGGGCUGGGUGUCCGGGUUCCCGGCCUUUCCGAUCUUCGCGAUGCGCCCGUCGCGCAGGCCCACGUCGGCCUUGUAGAUGCCGGUCGCGUCGACGAUCAGCGCGUUGGUGAUGACGGUAUCGACGGCGCCCUCGGCGCGGGUCGUCUGCGACUGGCCCAUGCCGUCGCGGAU
rnacentral:sRNA from 1 species